ACUAAAUUAUCUUUAUUGCAAGUGUCUAAUCAUUCUAGCUCUUGCAUAUUAAUGUAAGGUGUAAGCCUUAAUUAUUGAAUUACAAUUUAAAUUAAGAAAGUUCCUUAAGUGUGAGACAAACAAUGGUUAGGAAAUGUGUUAGAAACCUUCCGGUGUUGAUCAUGGAAGUGCUUAUCCUAAUUGUCCUUGAUGUACAAGCCAAUGAUCUUGCCUCAACCUCAUUCUAUCCGUCCUCACCACCUAUCCUACUUCCUUAUUCCUUUGAACUUGAUCGAGCAAAAGGAGACAUACAUGAGUGCCUUACAAAUGAAAUUGAAGGUUGUAAAAGUUCUAAAACAACAUGGCCAUCUUCCGACAUAAAAUACAGCUAUUGUAUUUUUCGUAGUUUUAAGAAGUGCCUGAACGAAUUUCCACGCCACCCAAUUAUGCGUCCUAUCAUUAAAGAUUGCUUCCUUGUUUGCGCAAAAAAAAUUGAAAUUGAACAGCGUUAUAUUGCCGAUUUUACUUCGUGUUUAUUGAAAUGUUAUGAAGAGCAUGUCAAGAAGCCCUCGGACAUCAUUUAUAUGCAGAAUCCUUGAGUUCCAGCUUUUGAUGUGAUAGAGUUGAGGCCAAUCAAGGAUCGGAAUUACGGGGCACAAGGUUUUGGCUAAGGUAGAUGAUCAAGUUAGAAGUAAGGAAUAAGCCACUGGCAAUUUAGUGUAUUGUUUGGUUAUGACAUUAUGUUAUAGUUAUGUUUUAGUUGAAGUUGUAAACAUUAUGAUUGUGAUAUAUAUUUUGGAGUUUUGAAGUUAUAAUUUAUGAAAUAUUAUGCUCUGGUUAA